rnacentral:rRNA from 1 species
UACAGAGGUGGCAAGCGUUGUUCGGAAUUACUGGGCGUAAAGGGCGCGUAGGCGGCCUUCUAAGUCAGACGUGAAAUCCCCCGGCUUAACCUGGGAACUGCGUCUGAUACUGGGAGGCUUGAGUAUGGGAGAGGGAUGUAGAAUUCCAGGUGUAGCGGUGAAAUGCGUAGAUAUCUGGAGGAACACCGGUGGCGAAGGCGGCAUCCUGGACCGGUAUUGACGCUGAGGCGCGAAAGCGUGGGGAGCAAACAGGG